UACGAAGGGGGCUAGCUUUGCUCGGAAUCACUGGGCGUAAAGGGUGCGUAGGCGGGUCUUUAAGUCAGGGGUGAAAUCCUGGAGCUCAACUCCAGAACUGCCUUUGAUACUGAGGAUCUUGAGUUCGGGAGAGGUGAGUGGAACUGCGAGUGUAGAGGUGAAAUUCGUAGAUAUUCGCAAGAACACCAGUGGCGAAGGCGGCUCACUGGCCCGAUACUGACGCUGAGGCACGAAAGCGUGGGGAGCAAACGGG
rnacentral:rRNA from 1 species